rnacentral:tRNA from 1 species
GGCCGCGUGGCCUAAUGGUAAGGCGUCUGACUACGAUUCCUUCUGGGUUGUGAUCAGGAGAUUGCAGGUUCGAGACCUGCCGCGGUCA